AGUAAGCUGCUACUAGUUCUUACCUGUGCGUUAAGACGUUCACUCAUGUCAACAAAAAUGGCGGUGCGCGAUUGUGCAGCCCCAGACAGCAACCCAACAUUGAAUAAAUAUUAAUUUUCCAUCGGAAUCAUCAUUAUGGUUGAUAUUGAAAUUUCAAUGCAAAAUAAAUGUUGAAUCACCAUUACAAUAUCGAUGAAACCUGUUGAUGGCAACAACAUUGGAACAACAUUGAUCUGUAGUUAUCUUUAUGAUUGAUUAAGCAUUGAUAUUUGGUUUACCGGGCGAUAUUGCCAAUGUGUUGAAAAGUCAUUGAUUUAGAGUUGACCGGGAAACGACCUGUUGUUGAAAAGCCAUCGAAAUAUAGUUGACUGGGAAAUAUGAUUGAAAAUGCAUUGAUUUAUAGUUGACCGGGAAAUAUGAUUGAAAAUGCAUUGAUAUAUAGUUGACCGGGAAAUAUGAUUGAAAAUGCAUUGAUACAUAGUUGACCGGGAAAUAUGAUUGAAAAUGCAUUGAUAUAUAGUUGACCGGGAAAUAUGAUUGAAAAGCCAUUGAUUUUUGGUUGACCGGGAGAUCAUCGGGUGGUAGACCAACGUACUGCACUGGACACAUCUCAUUUCUGGACUCUUGGGGCGAAUACGAUCAGAGAGGAAAAUGCCAGGCGGAGAGGGAAGAAAAGAGAUCACCUGCCGGAGGGACUGAAGCAAGUAAAAUGAUGCUCUUACACAGCAGAUGGGGACAGCCGUCGUCACCCAAUUUACUUUUGCCCAAGCUGUGCAACAGUUGCUGCGCUAUGCGUCAGACCGGGCAGGAAGGACUGGACGACAAACCAGUCAGACGUGAAUGACAUGAACUGUAACUAUGCUAAAGAGGACAAAUAAUGAAAUAAGAGGCUAAUAAAAUGAAUUUGUUUUUACCUUAAACAGUGUGGUGUGGUCAGUGUUUUUAGGCUAGGCUAUAGGCAUACAAGCUUUCAAAUGUUCCAUCACUUUUUACCUUCCUGGCUGUAGAUAAAGCAGGAUAUUCAUUAUAGGCUAUUUAAUUUAGGGCAUUACAUUUUCGUAUGCCUAGUAAUACUUUUCUAUGGCUUAAUAAUGAUUGAAAUUCCAUUGAAAUCACGUUGAUCCUUAGUUCAGUUGAAAUUUCAACAUUGUUUCAAUAUUCCUGAUAAUUGAAAUACCAUUGAAAUUCCAUUGAUCUAUGGACAGGAUUUCAACGUUGUUUCAAUAUUAAAACAGGGUGCAAAAUGAUGUUGAAUCCACAUCAGAAUUUGAUGUUGUUUCAGUGACUUAAUGUUGACAACGGAAUGUUGAUUUAACAUAGUUUCAAUGACUGUUUCCUAUCUGGGGCGGCUCUCCUGUCGGUGUAUAUUUAUACAAGUACGUACAGCCACACA